rnacentral:lncRNA from 1 species
CUAUGAAGAAUAACAAACUCACCUGCCACAAAAUUAUUCAGACAAUCUACUAAAGAAAAGAUAAAAAAAGAAGAAUUAUCUCCCUUUGUACUAAAAUAUGGUGUACCGUAGUAUUCUUACAUUAGAUACUGGACUAUAACUCUGGACUAAAUCAUUAGACCGGAACAAAAUUCGAAUUUAAUCUAUUUCUUGUCACGUUGAAACUAUUUAUCUACUACAAAAUCAAUAUCUUCAAGAACGAAGAAAAACGUGUGGAAAACUGAUUUGCAGAUAGACAGACGGACGUAAUGCACACGUAAAGUCCCCUUCGACUUCAUCGGUAGGGGACUAAAAAAUAAAGUAAAACAUGCAUUUAGAGCAAUAUUAACUAUCUUGAGUUAUUGCAUGAUUUCCCCACAUUGUUUUCAAAUUGGAGAUCUUGUCAUGCUGAUAAAAAAUAUUCUGUAGUAAAAGUUCUAUUACAAUUUUUAAGAUGAGGAAGAUCAAUUUAAUCGAGGUCUGGAUCUGGCAUGUCAGUAACUGCUAGCUAAUUAUCAAGUAUCACUGUCACUUUACCUUUUGGUACCUAUCCUG